UGGACUGGGGUUUCAUCUCUAUCU
rnacentral:miRNA from 1 species